rnacentral:lncRNA from 1 species
AGAAAAACUUUUGAGUGCUCAAAUUUCAGAUGUAUUCAAAUUUUAAAGGUUUAAGUUAUAGAGUAACACUUACUGAAAGAAAUAUUUUCUACGUGUUUUAAUGUGAGAAAUCAAUUGUAAUAAUAUACUUAGUAGAAGCAAAAUAAAAUUCGUAUCAGACUUAUGUAACCCAACCCGAUAGUGGCUUUAGUGUUCCUCAAGAAAUAUGUGGUUUUUAGAUUAUGUUGAUAAGACUUGACUUGUAGGGUCAAGGUGUAGUUGCCAUCAACAAUAUGUGGUCUUCAGGUUGUGUGGAGAAAACAUCUAUUACCCUCCUCUGAUUUUCUUCUUCCAAUUUUGCAUAGUUAAUAUUUCUAGUAAUCCAAAUUUAUUGUUCUCAUAAAAUAUUUUUGCUAACAUCAAAAUUAUAAGUGAAAAACCAAAUUGCUUCCAAAAGAAGAUACACUCAGAAUUAUUCACAAGAAGAAACACUCAUAAUUAUUCACAAGAAGAUACAUUUAGAAUUUUAUCACAAUAAGAUAUGAUCAAGAUUUUACAAGGACAAAAGUGAAACCCUGAUAUAUAUUCUAUUAAUAGAUAAUCAAGGCUAAAGAAGAAAUCAUGAACGCAUAAUCUCAUAAAUUCAUACAAUUCAGAAAAACUUGAGAGCUCAAAUUUCUGAUGUAUUCAAAUUUCAAAGGUUUAAGUUAUUGAGUAACACUUGCUCAAAGAAAUAUUUUCUACGUGUUUUAAUGUGACAAAUCAAUUGUAACAAUAUACUUAGUAGAAGCAAAAUAAAAUUUGUACCAGACUUGUGUAACCCAGCCCGAUAAUGGCUUUAGUGUUCCUCAAGAAAUAUGUGGUUUUCAGGUUAUGUUGAUAAGACUUAACUUGUAGGGUCAAGGUGUAGUUGCCUUCAACAAUCUAUAGUUUUCAGGUUGUGUGGAGAAGACAUGACUUGUAGGGUCAAAGUGUUUGUUUGCCUCAAAAAGUAUGUAGGUGUUAGGUUGUUUUGAGAAGACUGACUUGUAGGGUCAGGUGCUAUGAAUUUCAAGGAUUUAAAUUAGUAGUUAAACCCUUCUAGGUGAAGGGAUUAGAUAUAGCUACAAAAUUGGUGGUGAACUAGGAUAAAUUUUAUUGUAUCACUUUACUUCUGCACUCUUUAAUUUAUUGUUGCAUCUGAUUACUUAAGCCUUAUUGCUAUUGUCUCUAUUUUAGUUAAAAUCACCAAAUCCAAACCAGUUAUUGAAUAAAUCAUUAAAAAGAAUCCAACUUGGACAAAAAAAAAAUUCAACCCAUUUUCUCAUGUUUGCACCUUCAGAAUGUACUAAGCUAGAAGGUUGAGAAGAUUGAACAUAGAUAGUGUGACUAGUAGAUGUUCAAGUGUAUGUUUGAUUCAAUGGUAGACUAGUGGAUUAAAUCCUUCAGGUUAAAUGGAUUGGACGUAGCUACGGUGUUGGUGGUGAACCAUGAUAAAUCAUUGUGUCUUUCUUCUCUGUUUUUGUUUACUUGCACUACUUUCUAUAUGAUGACUCUUUAUCAAAUGAAUAUUUUUCAUUUUUUUUAAUCUUAUUUAUCUUUAAUUAUUAGUUAAUUUAAGGAGUUAUUUGAUAUUUUUGGUUGAUUUUAGUUCUUGGAUUUAAUGAAAUGUUUAUGUUCUUAUUUUCUUGAUUAAGUAGAAAUUUUUCGUAGUUUUGCGUUGUUUCUUUGUUGUAUUGUAGUGCUGAAUUUUGGUGAGAAAUCAACAUGACCUAUCUGGAGUAUUUUAGCCAUAAUUGGACUUGUAGAUGUCCAAUUGAAGUCAAACCAAGGGAAAAUGAAAGCUAAGAUUCAUAGCUACACAUUUCUUCAAGAAAAAUCGAACUCAAAAACGGAGAAAAUUGCACAAAACACCAAAUAGAAGAUGUUGUGCGCUUGAGGCACGCCUGAAGCGUAUUUCUACACCACCGGAUCUGUUGGAUUGUGCUUGAAGCGCGCCUAGGGCGCGCGACGCGCAUCACAACACAAUAAAACAUGUUUUUUUUUUUACUUUUAGGCAUCUUUUUUACUAUUGGGAAGUUGAGAGACUUGUGCCCUAGCAGAGAAACUCAGAGACAAUUGUUCUUAACACCAUUGGAGGAGUUUUAUAAAGAAUCAUUCAUGAAUCCUUCUUGUAAUUCUUAUUUAAUCCCUAUCUUUUGUAUAUCUGUCAUGAGUAACUAAAUCCUAUUUGUUAGGGAUGAGUGAAACAAGAUGAAACC